AAAAAGACAAACCCUGGGUUUCCGUGUCCAACUUUUGACCGUCCAUCUUAUUUGAAAAAAUUAUGAAAAAAAUUAAAAAGAUAAGUCAUACAUAAAGUAUUAAUCAUGUUUUAUCACAUAACAUCAAUAAAAAUACUGAUUAUAAAAAAAUUUCAUAUAAAACAGACAGUCAAACGUUGGACACGGAAACCCAGGGUUUAUCUUUUU
rnacentral:pre_miRNA from 1 species